UACAGAGGUCCCAAGCGUUGUUCGGAUUCACUGGGCGUAAAGGGUGCGUAGGUGGCUGAAUAAGUCUGACGUGAAAUCUCCAAGCUUAACUUGGAAACUGCGUCGGAUACUAUCUGGCUAGAGGAUCGGAGGGGAGACUGGAAUACUUGGUGUAGCAGUGAAAUGCGUAGAUAUCAAGUGGAACACCAGUGGCGAAGGCGAGUCUCUGGACGAUUCCUGACACUGAGGCGCGAAAGCUAGGGGAGCAAACGGG
rnacentral:rRNA from 1 species